CACCCAAUCACUGUUUUGUGGGAUGAAUGAAUGAGUGAGUGAGAGAUGACCAGGAAUGACUGCAUGCCGGCAGCUGGAGAAGGAGCCUCAGUGGCCUGUGCCUUUGGAAGUUCUACCCAACGGCCCAGGAUUACUCAGCCUGCUUUGCUGCCAAGAUUAUCUGGAGCUGACACCGAGACCUGUGAUGGACUUGCAAAUGGCCCCGAGGCUUCCAGACUCCAGGCAGUGAGGCAGUGUGGAGGGCAUAGGCCCCCUUCCUCCCACUGCACAUGCAAGUGAGUGAGUGCUGAGAACUAGAGCAAUGGGCACCGAUUAGACCGCUUCCAGCCAGGCAUGACCGGACCUGUCUCAGGAGGUGCUGCUGACGGGCGCGUGGAUCACGAGUGGUACCGGUUUUGCUAAGGCCUCCCCCUCUUUCCUGUGAGCUUCUGCAAGGUCUGCAGCAAAUACCUCACAAGCGUUGGGGAAAAAGGAUGUAUGUUCCCUGCCUCUGAAGAAACAGGCCUGACGGUUGGGAAGCACACCCUUCCCCUCUCAGAGGCUUUCUCAUCGGCUCUUCCUCAUCGGCUGCUUCUUGGGAGAGUGCUGCGGUUUGGGCUGUUUUAGUCUCCAAGGGGAUGGGUGAUUUAUAUCCUUUUAUUCGGCAAACAGCUUUGUACAGAAUGAAUACCGCUUGCUGAAUGUCACCAGGCGGGGGCAGGGGAGCCGUAUAGAAUCCCAGUGAAGCCUUCCAGGCCUGGGCAAAAUGGCACCUGGCGACUCGGUUAGUGUGUGUGUUUUCUCCGGCGGGAGUAAGGAAGACACAGUCAGAGUGGAAGGGAAAUGCAAAGACUCCAGCGCCCCCCUCCCCUGCUAGUGCCUGCCACUUUCUGCUUCUCCAUCUUCUCCUGCCCUUUGCAGGACAGGGCCCUCUCCACCUCGGAGAGAAGCAAGGCAGUCAGUGACCUAUGGACUUCAGGGAGGGGCUCCUUUCUGUGGCGCUGAGUCAGCAUGCCAGGCCUGCAGGGCUACACAAUCAAGCAUGAGGGAUUGCGGCUUUCACCAGGGCAUAUCAGGGCUUAGCUCUGCACUCAACCUUGCCCAAGCCAGGGUUCCGGCUGGAGGCCCCUUGCUCUUCUCACUCUCUUUCCAUGCUCCUGCUUCUCACCUCUCCCCAUCCACACCUGGGUCUGUACGUUCCCUGAGACUGUGAGCCAUGCCUCUUCACACACACACACACACACACACACACACACACACACACACGGGUGCCCAGCGUGGCCCCAUUCUCAACACACAAUAAAUAAGUGCUCGAUGUUUGUUGAAUGAAUAACAAAUGGCCAACUCAUUCCCCCAUGAACCCUGGCACCCCAGCACUGCCCUGCAUGAACCCUGGCACCCCAGCACUGCCCUGCAUGAACGCUGGCACCCCAGCACUGCCCUGCAUGAACGCUGGCACCCCAGCACUGCCCUGCAUGAACUCUGGCACCCCAGCACUGCCCUGCAUGAACUCUGGCACCCCAGCACGGCCCUGGGGCCUGUGGGCUGCUCUGGCAGGAUGACAAAUCAUGCCCCAGUGUUUAGGGCAGUGCUACCAAUGCACUAAGAGAUGGGAAAGGUGGUAGAUUCUCAGGACUUGGAGAAACUUUUGCAAUCACAUCGCCCAGCCCUCUCAUUUUACAGAUGAGGACACCGAGGCCCAGAGAGGUGUCCUGCCAAAGCCACACAGCACAGAGGAGCAGAGCCCGGGUCCAGCUAUUUCUCCUAUCUCACCACGCUGCCUCUUCUCACUGGAAGAGUGUACCAACGCGGGAGUCUGGCCCCUACCCAUCCCAAGCCUGAUCCCUACCUAAGGUCCACAGAGCGUCUCCACCAGCAGCUCCAGGAGGGAUGAUAAAUUGUCAAAAGCCACCAAGAGUCAGGGACAGGAACUCAGUUCUGCCCAGCUGAGGGCUGUGCAGGGAUUUCAAGGUACCUGUGCGAACCCCAGCCCUCACUCAUUGAACUCAGUCAGAAAACCACCGCGUCAGUGGAUUUAGAAAUGUGACAGGGAUUUCAGAGGGCAAUGGGUCCAGCCCUCACAACCCAGCACCACUCUGCAGGCAUGGAAACGCAGGCCCAGAGGACAGGGGCUUCUCAAUAUGGGCACACAGCACCAAGACAGCUCCAUAAAUAGAAGUGAAAUAUCCAAGCUCCCACUCCAGGGAAGCUGACCACUGGGUGGAUGACUCCCCCAGCGUCCAAACCCUCUCUGGCAGUCCCUUGCUGCUCCAGGAGCGAGGAUGAAAGGGAGAGCUCUUCCCAGGGCCUCCGGGGAGACACUUCUGCUGACUGUCCCCAAGGAGAAAGAGGGGAGAGAAAUGAGGGAGGGUCCCUGAAGAAUGGAGACCUUCAAGAAGGAGGCCAACCUCGGGGACCAGUGGAAGCCAGAAAGAGCACGGGGGCAUGGCAGGGGCUGAAGCCGAUGUCCCAGGGAAGGAGUAGCUGCAAGGCCCCUCAGCCUCAGAGGAGCGCCAGCCCCGCCCUGCCAUUCUGGACAAGGCAUGAGUGUGAAGAGACUCUUGCCUGUCCACACUAUCAAGGCUGAGCGGGGGCAAAGGCAGCCCCCUGGGGGUCCCCACCCUGCUACUGGACUUUAAAACCAUUUUCUUUGGUUUUAAAGAAACAAUUUUUCUUUGGUCAUGAUUUUGUUGGUAGAUUUAUCUUUAUGGAAUUGUAGUAUUUUCUUGCUCUAAAACCCUCAGUUUAACCCCUUCUUUUUUCUGUCUCACAUUUUUGCCUCCAGCGAUAUGAAAAUGAACCUUGGAGAAUGGGAGGGUCCUGGGGGAGGGGGGCUGAGGGGCUCUUCACCAGGCAGAGAUGAACCCCAGUGCUGACACAAGCCCUUUCCUUUUCCUGGUUUCUCUUGCCCUGGAGAGUGACAGGCAGAAAGGGCUUUUUGUCUCUUUGGACCAUUUCUGUAUCCCUGCUGCCUCAAACGAAGCCUGGCCUGGGGCGAACUCAAUCAAUGACUCUGACGGGAGACAGGGCUCCGGCCCACUGGGGUGAUGGGCUAAAGAGGGGAUUCUGGUUCCUGUGGACAAUCUGGAAGCUGGAAGCUGUUAGAACUGGAGCGAGGAUUUCACCAAGGAGCUCACAGAGAGAGCCCGGGCAGGAACUCUCCAAUCAUCUGGCGGCUGAGGCCCUUUCGCUGGAGGAGGAAAUGGGCCACACCGAUGGGGGUGUCCGGGAUGAAGCCGCGUGAGAUCAGGAACUGGAUGCCCUUGUCGGGGUUUCUGGAGGUGGGGGUGGGGAGAAGCAGUAGAGAGUGAGCUGAAGCCAUCCAUGACUCUUUCCUCCCUGUCUUCCACCCAUAGAAGUACCCAGAGGUUCUUGGAAAUCCAGUUCCCCAUUGAAGCUUCUCUCACCAGAGCCUCAACCCACUGAAUGUCCUCACGCAGAGGAUGGUCCCCACCGCAGACGCCCCAACCCUGGAGAGAGGGUGGGAGAAACAGAGGUGAGACCUCCGCCACACCACCUCUUCCCUUUGCAAGCUUUGAAGCCAUGCUGCUCCCUGAGCUGUUCCUCACAGGUCCGGGAGGAGAUAAGUACAGAAACACAAGGUAAGCACUGAGAACCUCCCAUAGCAUUUCGACAUUUUCCGGGACAGCCAGGCAUGUGAUUGUCUUUCUAGCACCUCAUUUUUAUUGUAUUUUACAAAAGUAUUAGCCCACAAUGUAUUUUCAGAAGGGUGUGGGGGAACAAAACUGGUUCUUCACUAUGGAUAGUUUAAGAAUUCCUGUCUUGGGGCAGAUGAGUGUCUGUAUGAGUUUUCAUGUGCAUGCAGAAGAGACACUGCAGAAGUGGGAGUGGUUCAGAGUCAGAUCCGCCUUUCCCUAGGUCUGCCGAGUACUAGCUAUUUCAUCGUGUGCAUUUCGCCUUACUGGUGUGAGCCGGCUUCUUUUCUGUAAAACAGCAUGGUAAUACCUCUGUGUAGAUACUGCUGGAAGAUUACAGAUGCUUUAUGUAAGGGAGCACAUGGUCUUGAGGCUCCACGUGCUGAGCGCGUCGUCGAUGGACUUGGCCAGGGAUUGCACCUGCUCGGUGAAGGAGUCCUCCAGCUCGGCUCUCGGCCGUGGGUGACCGCACCUUGCGCAGGGAGAUCCGCCGUGGCAGGCGGCUCUCCAGAAGCGAGUUGCGGAUUUUCUCGAAGUUCUUGCUGAGCUGGUAUUGGCGGAAGGCGGUUUGGAUGGUGCAAGCGGCGCGCCGGGACACCAGGUGACCGCCGUACUUAUGUUCUAGCAUUUCAAUCUGCAAGGACGAGGACAGAGAGGAGGAAGGGCUCAGAGGGGAAGGGUGGUCAGCCCUUCUGAGGAGUGGUGGAGUCACCCGGCCACACUCGGGUGGGGCCCAGGAAUGGACGGGGGCGGGGGGGCGCUCCUGGGCAGCUAAAGUCUGAACCGCCUAGAACGUCCUGGCCACGUGGCAAGACUCCUAGAGGUGUAGGACGGAGGGGUCCGUUCUGGGGACUAGUGAUGUCUCAAGGGCCAGGAGGGAGGUGCUGCAUAUGGCGUUCAGAUAUCGAUGCUGUGGCGGGUAUUACAAAAUGUUCAUGGCCGGGCGCAUUAGCUCAGGCCUGCAGUCCUAGCAUCUUGGGAGGCUAAGGAGAGAAGAUUGCUUGAGCUCAGGAGUUUGCGACCAGGCUGGGCAACAUAGCUAGACCUUGUCUCUCUCUUGAAAAAAAAAAAAAAAUUAACUGGGUGUCCUGGUGCGCGCACGCCUGUGGUCCUCAGCUACUGGGAAGGCUGAGGUGGGAGGACUGCUUGAGCCCAAGGAGUUGGAGAUUACAGUGAGCUAUGAUUGUACCACAGCACUCCAGCCUGGGCAAAACAGUGAGACCUUGUCUCUGUUUUUUUCUUUUCUUUUCUUCUUUUUUUUUUUUUUUUUAAGUUCAUGUCAGAGAUGCAUACAGAAGUACUUAUGGGUAAAAUGCAUGAUAUCUUGAAGUUGUGUUAAAAUAUUCUGUCAAAAAAUGUGGAAGAGUUAGAUGACACAAUAUUAAUGUUAAUAAAUAUUAAUAAAAUGGUUACAGCUGGAUGAUAGCUACGGGGGAGUUUAUAACACUGUCGUUUCUACUUUUGUGCACACUUUAAAACAAUAAACAAUGAAAAACAGAAAUGCUAAAAAACCUCACAGCUCCUCGUGCUUCCCCGCUCCUCCCCUAAACAAUGAAAAACAUAAAUGCUAAAAACCCUCACAGCUCCUCGUGCUUCCCUGCUCCUCCCCAGCAACCAUGUCUCUGUGUUGGGGUGGCUCCUUUCCCUGGGAACAUCAGAAGGGUCGGGAUUGGGGUUGGACCAUCUGUGUGUUCCCAGUACAUAGUUAGCUGCUCAGUAAACGUGGAU
rnacentral:lncRNA from 10 species